rnacentral:piRNA from 1 species
GAUUAACAAAGGAACAAAGAAGGAACUCCG